GCAUUGCGCUCAGUUGGUAAAACAUGAGGCUCUUGAUCUUAGGGUCAUGGGUUCAAGCCCCACAUUGUGCA